AUUCCAGCUCCAAUAGCGUAUACUAAAGUUGUUGCAGUUAAAAAGCUCGUAGUUGAAUUUCUGGUCUCGGACAGCGGUCUGCCUCAAACGAGGUACGCACCACCUGUUCAGGUCCAUCCUCGGAGAAAACAUGCCUGUGAUUCAGUUCAUGGGUAUGGGAUCUUCGUCAUUUACUGUGAGCAAAAUAUAGUGUUCAAAGCAGGCUUAUGCCGUUGAAUACAUUAGCAUGGAAUAAUAAAAUAAGACCUUGGUCUAUUUUGUUGGUUUGUACUCCAAGGUAAUGAUUAAUAGGGAUAGUUGGGGGUAUUCGUAUUCAAUUGUCAGAGGUGAAAUUCUUGGAUUUAUGGAAGACGAACUACUGCGAAAGCAUUUACCAAGGAUGUUUUCAUCG
rnacentral:rRNA from 1 species